CUGAAGGCUCUUUCUCGAUUCCGUGGAAAGUGGUGCAUGGUCCGUUUUUGGGUUGGUGGAUCGAUCCGUCUGGUUAAUUCCGUUAACGAACGAGACCUCGGCACUCCGAAUAGCGCGGCGGACGUCGCGGCCUCCGGGCGUCUUCCGCACGAGCUUCUUAGAGGGACCGUCCCCCGCCGGGGAAGGAGGUGCGAGGCAACGACAGGUCUGUGAUGCCCUUAGAUGUUCUGGGCCGCACGCGCAUUACACUGACGCGUCCAACGGGUGACUCCCGACCGAAGGGCCGGGGAAUCCGCAAGGCGCGUCGUGAUGGGGAUUGAACGUUGCAAUUGUUGUUCACGAACGAGGAAUUCCUAGUAGGCGCGGGUCAUCAACCCGCGCCGAUUACGUCCCUGCCCUUUGUACACACCGCC
rnacentral:rRNA from 1 species